rnacentral:rRNA from 1 species
ACUCCACGGGAGGCAGCAGUAAGGAAUAUUGGACAAUGGACGAAAGUCUGAUCCAGCCAUGCCGCGUGAAGGAUUAAGGUCCUCUGGAUUGUAAACUUCUUUUAUUUGGGACGAAAAAAGAUCAUUCUUGAUCACUUGACGGUACCAGAUGAAUAAGCACCGGCUAACUCCGUGCCAGCAGCCGCGGUAAUACGGAGGGUGCAAGCGUUAUCCGGAUUCACUGGGUUUAAAGGGUGCGUAGGCGGGUUUGUAAGUCAGUGGUGAAAUCCUGGAGCUUAACUCCAGAACUGCCAUUGAUACUAUAAGUCUUGAAUAUUGCGGAGGUAAGCGGAAUAUGUCAUGUAGCGGUGAAAUGCUUAGAUAUGACAUAGAACACCCAUUGCGAAGGCAGCUUACUACACAUAUAUUGACGCUGAGGCACGAAAGCGUGGGGAUCAAACAGGAUUAGAUACCCUGGUAGUCCACGCCCUAAACUAUGGAUACUCGACAUACGCGAUACACUGUGUGUGUCUGAGCGAAAGCAUUAAGUAUCCCACCUGGGAAGUACGACCGCAAGGUUGAAACUCAAAUGAAUUGACGGA